UGCACAUGGAUCGGAUAAUAUCCGCAGAUCCGCGGUAAUUAUCCGCAUCCGAUCCGAAUUUCGCGGAUAUUAUCCGAUCCGCAGAGUCAUCGGAUCGGAUCAGAUCCGAUCCGCACUGUGGUAGGAUCGGAUCGCGGAUUUGGCAGUGAUACCCGCGGAUCCGAUCCGCAGAUCCGCAUAGAUCCGCACAUGACCCAUCAUAUAAAUAGCUAAUGUUAUGUUAUUGUGAGUUGUGACCUAACCCUAAAUCCCUCAUUACGGCGCUCCUCACCUUUUUCACUCUCUGAAGUCUGAACUCUGGACUCUCCUCUCAAUCUCAGAUCCUCACUCACUUACUCAGACUCUCAAACUCUGGCUCUCCUUCUCCUCUCUGAUCGGCUCUGCCUUGCUCUAUCACUAGUGUUCGCUGUCCAUCACCGUCUCCUAAGAUCAUUAUUUACUGUUCUUCCAGGCUCCAGCUACACGGUCGUUGCCUCCUCCAUCGACGCGGUGGACGGCGGUCGCGUCGUUCUCCAUAGGCGUUCUUCAUAUGUCGCGUUCUUCACUAGCGCAGCGCUCACGGUCGGUGGUCUCCUCCAGUAGUGCGGUCACCUCCUCCAACGCUCACGGUCGCGUUCAUCAUUUCUUGUUCUCUCCAAGCAGCUUCGUGAAUCUGUCAGAGUCAGACCAGCCGUCCUUCUUCUCCAUCGUUUUUGCUCUCGGCUCUUCAACUGAUCAGAUAUGGCACUGAGGGUUUAUAUGGUUUAAAGGUUUAAUUGGAAGAUGAAGUGGCGGAAGAUUUUAGUGGAUUUGAUAUAUUGAGGUGGUGGAGAGGAAAGACUUUGAGGUAUCGUGUUCUCUCUUGCAUGGCUAGAGAUAUAUUAGCCAUUCCUGUUUCUACUGUGGCAUCUGAGUCAGUUUUUAGCACGGGAGGUCGUGUCCUUGACCCUUAUCGCAGUUGUUUGAGUCCCACCACUAUAGAGGCGUUAAUUUGCACUCAAAAUUGGUUGAAGCCUGCUAAGAUAUUGGUUGAGCUUGAUGAAGGAGAUGCCGCUGUUAAAUUCAGAAUUUUCUGGAGUUACUAGUGUCGGAGAUCCUGAAGUUCAAAGUGGAAUGCAAUCUCAUCAACCAUCUUAGGAAUGAAUGCUUGCUGAUAUAGUGUCAAUUGGAAGACUGGAAGAGAUGUGUCAAUUGGAACUUGUUGAGUUGCUGUUUUAGUGUUUUUAGUAUGCUGGAAUUGCUGUUUUAGUAUGAUUUAGUGUGCUGAAUUGUUGAGUUGCUGUUUUAGUAUGUUAAAUUAUUGAUUUGAUGUGUUGUUUUACCAAGUGUUGUCAUAAAUUAUUGUAUUUUUAAUUUUUAAUUGCUAAGUUGCUGUUUUAUUUUUAAUUUU